GGUGUGAAAGUCGACGACGUUUCCGACCCGUCUUGAAACACGGAUUACGGAGUGUUUGUCUGCUGCGAGUCAAAGGGUGUAAAAACCUUGCGGCGCAAUGAAAGUGAAGGUUAGUCUCGAACUGACCGACGUGGGAUCCGUGCUCUUCGGAGUGCGGCGCACCACGGCCCUAUGCGUGUCACUUGUGACUGUGUAGAGGUUGAGCAGUAGGCAAGCGACCCGAAAGAUGGUGAACUAUGCCUGAGCAGGAUGAAGCCAGAGGAAACUCUGGUGGAAGUCCGUAUCGGUUCUGACGUGCAAAUCGAUCGAUAGACUUGGGUAUAGGGGCGAAAGACUAAUCGAACCAUCUAGUAGCUGGUUCCUUCCGAAGUUUCCCUCAGGAUAGCUGGAACUCUUGCAGUUAUAUUCGGUAAAGCUAAUGAUUAGAGGCCUUGGGGACGUAAUGUCCUCAACCUAUUCUCAAACUUUCAAUGGAUAUGGCGUCGCAGUUUCUUUAGUGAACUGCGGCGUGAAUGCGAGUUCCAAGUGGGCCAUUUUUGGUAAGCAGAACUGGCGCUGUGGGAUGAACCAAACGUGGAGUUAAGGUGCCUAACUUCUCGCUUAUGAGACCCCAUAAAAGGUGUUGGUUGAUAUUGACAGCAGGACGGUGGCCAUGGAAGUCGGUACCCGCUAAGGAGUGUGUAACAACUCACCUGCCGAAUCAACUAGCCCUGAAAAUGGAUGGCGCUUAAGCGAGAGACCUAUACUCCGCCGUCGCGGCAUGUGCGUUGUCUAGCGCCAGGUCGCGACGAGUAGGAAGGACGUGGCGGUUGCGUUGAAGGCUAUGAGCGUAGGCUCGGCUGGAGCUUCCGUCAGUGCAGAUCGUAAUGGUAGUAGCAAAUAUUCAAGUUCGAUCCUUGAAGACUGAAGUGGAGAAUGGUUUCCACGUGAACAGUAGUUGGAUGUGGGUCAGUCGAUCCUAAGGUACUGGCGAAAGCCUUGUAUCAUCGGUGGCGAAAAGCUUGCUUUUUGUCCCCGCCCGUCGAAAGGGAAUAGGGUUAAUAUUCCCUAACUGAGAUGCAAAGAUUGUGUUCUUCGGAGCACAAGCGCGGUAACGCGUUCGAACUUGGUAAGUCGCUCAGAGACCGAGCUAGAGUUUUCUUCUCUAGUUAAGGAACGGACUCCCUGGAAUUGGUUCAGCCAGAGAUGGGGACGUUGUUUCCGAAAAGCACCGCGGUUUCUGUGGUGUCUCGUGCUCUCUGAACGGCCCUUUAAACACCAAGGGAGGCUAUUAAUUUGCACUCAAUCGUACCGAUAUCCGCAUUAGGUCUCCAAGGUGAACAGCCUCUAGUCGAUAGAAUAAUGUAGGUAAGGGAAGUCGGCAAACUAGAUCCGUAACUUCGGGAAAAGGAUUUGGCUCCAGUGGUCGGAACGGUUGGCCAGUUGGUUGAUGCUUGUCCGGCGCUGUUCUGUCUGCUUGAUGCUUUUCGGGCUGAUGGCGGCCUAGUGAUAGUGCUUUGCUUGUUGACGCUUUCUGGUGUG
rnacentral:ncRNA from 1 species